AAAAAAAAAAAAAAAGGGAGAAAAGCGCGAGAAAAACGACUGGGGAAUAACUCACGGAAAAUUAAUUUUUUUGCUUGUUUUUGUGAAUACUCUAUCCCCCAUCCCUCAGAGGAUUUCUGCGGGGUACGGACCGCACCGUGGGAAGCCUCGGUCCCUGUCUCGCUCCCGCACACGCCUUCACCUGCGCUUUGUCGCAAUUUGCCUGGUGCCCGCAGCCCCCCGGCUCGCUAGGCUGCAAAAUAAAGGGGAGGAAAAGCCUCAAGUAGACCCCAGCCUGCCCACAAAACCGCCUUUUGUGUUAUCUCGGGAGCAGCUGUUGUAGGAGGGAGGCCGACCCCUCAGGUUUGAUUUGUGUCUCCUCAGGCAAAACUUUGCUGGGGAGGGACGGAGCCAGCACGGAGAAGGGGACUCGAUUCACGCCCGGCAGCGGCGGUGCCCAGCGGCCGCCUGUCCCUGCGAGCCGCGGGGCUGAGCCAGGCCGGAGCUUAUCAGACUUCCGAGGAAAAACUAUUUGCGUUUUAAUAAAGAUGCUCCGUGCGCCGGGGAAGAACAAUCCCCGCACCCGAAACUC